GUCCCCGUCGUCUAGCUUGGCCUAGGACACCGGCCUUUCACGCCGGUAACGUGGGUUCGAAUCCCGCCGGGGACG
rnacentral:tRNA from 1 species